rnacentral:rRNA from 1 species
UACGUAGGGUCCGAGCGUUGUCCGGAAUUACUGGGCGUAAAGAGCUCGUAGGUGGUUUGUCGCGUUGUUCGUGAAAACUCACAGCUCAACUGUGGGCGUGCGGGCGAUACGGGCAGACUGGAGUACUGCAGGGGAGACUGGAAUUCCUGGUGUAGCGGUGGAAUGCGCAGAUAUCAGGAGGAACACCGGUGGCGAAGGCGGUUAGCUGGGCAGUUGCUGACACUGAGGCGCGACAGCGUGGGGAGCAAACAGG